rnacentral:rRNA from 1 species
UGAGGAAUAUUGGUCAAUGGGCGAGAGCCUGAACCAGCCAAGUAGCGUGCAGGAUGACGGCCCUAUGGGUUGUAAACUGCUUUUGUAUGGGGAUAAAGUCAAUCACGUGUGAUUGUUUGCAGGUACCAUACGAAUAAGGACCGGCUAAUUCCGUGCCAGCAGCCGCGGUAAUACGGAAGGUCCGGGCGUUAUCCGGAUUUAUUGGGUUUAAAGGGAGCGUAGGCCGGAGAUUAAGUGUGUUGUGAAAUGUAGACGCUCAACGUCUGACUUGCAGCGCAUACUGGUUUCCUUGAGUACGCACAACGUUGGCGGAAUUCGUCGUGUAGCGGUGAAAUGCUUAGAUAUGACGAAGAACUCCGAUUGCGAAGGCAGCUGACGGGAGCGCAACUGACGCUUAAGCUCGAAAGUGCGGGUAUCGAACAGGAUUAGAUACCCUGGUAGUCCGCACAGUAAACGAUGGAUGCCCGCUGUUGGUACCUGGUAUCAGCGGCUAAGCGAAAGCAUUAAGCAUCCCACCUGNGGGAGUACGCCGGCGACGGUG